UAACACGUAGGAGACUAGCGUUAUCCGGAUUUACUGGGCGUAAAGCGCGUGCAGGUGGCUCGGAAAGUUCGAUGUGAAAGCUCCCGGCUUAACUGGGAGAGGUCGUUGAAUACUUUCGGGCUAGAGGAUGGGAGAGGGAGGCGGAAUUCCGGGUGUAGUGGUGAAAUGCGUAGAUAUCCGGAGGAACACCAGUGGCGAAAGCGGCCUCCUGGCCCAUUUCUGACACUCAGACGCGAAAGCUAGGGUAGCAAACGGGAUUAGAGACCCCGGUAGUCCUAGCUGUAAACGAUGUAGACUUGGCGUUGGCGGGUUCAAAUCCGUCAGUGCCGAAGCUAACGCGAUAAGUCUACCGCCUGGGGACUACGGCCGCAAGGUUAAAACUCAAAUGAAUUGACGG
rnacentral:rRNA from 1 species